GACGAACGCUGGCGGCGUGCUUAACACAUGCAAGUCGAACGGUGAAGCCCCUUCCUUUUUGCUCGGGCUGCAAGAGUGGGGAUCGCGCGUGUAACACGUGCGCACCCCGCUCCGUUCUGCCUGAUAACCUCAUGCAAGUGUGGCUAAUACGCUUUAUUCUCGUGCUGUCUGAUGAUGGGUCUUGUCGGGUAGUGUUUUCGGCGGGGGAUGGGGUCGCGGCCUUUCAGCGUGUUGGUGGGGUGAUGGCCGACCAAGGCGGCGACGGGUAGCCGGCCUGAGAGGGCGACCGGCCACACGGGGACGGAGACACGGCCCAGACUCGUACGGGAGGCAGCAGUGGGGAAUAUUGCGCAAUGGGCGGAAGCCUGACGCAGCGACGCCGCGUGGGGGAUGACGGCCUUCGGGUUGUAAACCUCGUUCGAACCCGACGAAUUUGGACGGUAGGGGUAGAAGAAGCACCGGCCAACUACGUG
rnacentral:rRNA from 1 species